UCAUUUCCUGGAGGCGGGGCGGACCGCCGGGAGAACCUGCCUCGGUGACAACAGCGGCUGUUUGAUGGCGGUUGUCGGGCGGCCGCGGCCCCGCCGGCUCGGGGUGCUGGGCGGGCCGCGCUGCACCUAAGGAGGCGCCGCGUCUCUGCGCCAUGGGGAGGCGGAGCAGCGGCGGGCGGCUACCCUGAGGCGGCGGCAUCGAGCGGCACUUUCGAGGGGGAACCCCGCUCCGGGACCUGCAAGGCCGGGGGGAUGUUACGGUGGAUCCGCCAGCAGCUGGGUUUUGACCCACCACAUCAAAGUGAUACACGAACUAUUUACAUAGCAAAUCGUUUCCCCCAGAAUGGCCAUUAUGUUCCUCAGAAAUUUGCAGACAACAGAAUCAUAUCAUCUAAGUAUACGGUGUGGAAUUUUAUUCCGAAAAAUUUAUUUGAGCAGUUCAGAAGAAUAGCCAAUUUUUAUUUUCUUAUUAUAUUUUUGGUUCAGCUUAUGAUAGAUACACCUACCAGUCCUAUUACAAGCGGAUUGCCAUUAUUCUUUGUCAUAACUGUAACAGCCAUAAAACAGGGUUAUGAAGACUGGUUACGACAUAAAGCAGACAAUGAAGUAAAUGGAGCUCCAGUUUAUGUUGUUCGAAGUGGUGGCCUUGUAAAAACUAGAUCAAAAAACAUUAGGGUGGGUGAUAUUGUCAGAGUAGCCAAAGAUGAGACUUUCCCUGUUGACCUUGUACUUCUGUCCUCCGAUAGAGUGGAUGGUUCGUGUCAUGUUACUACUGCUAGCUUGGAUGGAGAAACUAAUCUUAAGACUCAUGUUGCAGUCCCAGAAACAGCAGUAUUACAGUCAGUUGCCAACCUGGACACACUCGUAGCUGUUGUCGAAUGUCAACAGCCAGAAGCAGACCUAUACAGAUUUGUUGGAAGAAUAACUAUAAGUCAUCAAAUUGAGGAAAUUGUACGACCUCUUGGGCCUGAAAGUCUUUUACUUCGAGGAGCAAGAUUAAAAAACGCAAAAGAAAUUUUUGGUGUUGCUGUGUAUACGGGUAUGGAGACAAAGAUGGCAUUAAAUUACAAGAGUAAAUCUCAGAAACGAUCAGCAGUAGAAAAGUCUAUGAACUCAUUUUUGAUUAUCUAUCUAAUAAUCCUCCUUUUUGAAGCAGUCCUGAGUACAAUCUUAAAAUAUACCUGGCAAGCUGAAGAAAAAUGGGAUGAACCUUGGUAUGACCAGAAAACUGAACAUGAAAGAAACAGCAGUAAGAUUCUGAGAUUUAUUUCAGAUUUUCUUGCUUUUCUGGUACUUUACAAUUUUAUCAUCCCUAUUUCACUUUAUGUGACUGUUGAGAUGCAGAAAUUUCUUGGAUCUUUUUUUAUUGGCUGGGAUCUUGACCUCUAUCAUGAAGAAACAAACCAGAGAGCACAAGUAAAUACUUCAGAUCUCAAUGAGGAGUUGGGACAGGUGGAGUAUGUGUUUACAGAUAAAACUGGUACAUUAACUGAAAAUGAAAUGCAGUUUCGGGAAUGCUCUAUUAAUGGCAUCAAAUACCAAGAGAUCAAUGGCAAACUAGUUCCAGAGGGGUUGACUGAGGAUUCCCCAGAUGGAAUUAGACAGAGUCUUAUGAAAGAGGAAGAGCUCUUCUUGAAAGCAGUCUGUCUGUGUCACACAGUGCAUAUCAGUGCAGAUCAAACCGAUGGCAUUGGUGAUGGGCUCUGGCAUGCCAAUGGAAUAGUGUCUCAGCUGGAGUACUAUGCUUCCUCACCAGAUGAGAAGGCUUUAGUUGAAGCUGCUAGCAGAGUUGGUGUUGUAUUUACGGGAACUAAUGGGGAAGGUAUGGAAGUGAAAAGCCUUGGAAAACCAGAAAGGUAUAAAUUACUUCAUGUUUUGGAGUUUGAUCCAAAUCGUAGACGAAUGAGUGUCAUUGUAGAGAGUCCUUCUGGAGAAAAGCUCUUAUUCACAAAAGGAGCAGAAUCUUCCAUUCUUCCUCACAGUAGAGGUGGAGAAAUAGACAAAACAAGGAUUCACGUAGAUGAAUUUGCUUUGAAAGGGUUAAGAACUUUAUGUGUAGCCUAUAGAAGAUUCACAGCUGAGGAGUAUCAGGAAAUAGACAGACGCCUUCAUGAGGCUAGAACUGCCUUACAGCAACGAGAAGAAGGACUGGCACGUGUAUUCAACUUCAUAGAAAAGGAUCUGGAAUUACUUGGGGCUACAGGAGUAGAGGACAAACUCCAAGAUAAAGUCCAAGAAACUAUCGAGGCACUCAGAUUGGCUGGUAUCAAAGUGUGGGUGCUUACUGGAGAUAAGCAUGAAACAGCUGUUAGUGUCAGUUUAUCAUGUGGACACUUCCAUAGAACCAUGAACAUCCUUGAACUUGUACAACACAAAUCAGACAGUACAUGUGCAGAGCAGCUGACGCAGCUAGCCAGGAGAAUAAAGGAGGAUCAUGUAAUCCAGCAUGGGCUGGUUGUGGAUGGGACCAGCCUCUCUCUUGCACUCAGGGAACAUGAAAAACUGUUCAUGGACGUUUGUAGAAAUUGUUCUGCAGUGCUGUGUUGCCGCAUGGCACCCCUGCAAAAAGCAAAGGUAGUACGACUGUUAAAAACAUCUCCAGAGAAACCUAUAACAUUAGCCAUUGGUGAUGGGGCUAAUGAUGUAAGCAUGAUACAAGAAGCACAUGUUGGCAUAGGAAUCAUGGGGAAAGAAGGAAGACAAGCUGUAAGAAACAGUGACUAUGCAAUAGCAAGGUUUAAAUUCCUCUCCAAGUUGCUUCUUGUUCAUGGCCACUUUUACUAUAUUAGGAUAGCAACCCUUGUACAGUACUUUUUUUAUAAGAAUGUAUGCUUUAUUACACCACAAUUUUUAUAUCAGUUCUUUUGUUUGUUUUCACAACAAACGCUUUAUGACAGUGUGUACCUGACUUUAUACAACAUUAGUUUCACUUCUUUGCCUGUUCUGAUGUACAGUCUUUUUGAACAGCAUGUUCACCCUCAUGUGUUACAGAGCAAGCCAACACUCUAUAGAGACAUUAGGAAAAAUGCACUCUUGGGAUUUAAACCGUUUCUUUACUGGACCAUUUUGGGGUUCUCUCAUGCAUUUGUUUUCUUCUACGGCUCGUAUCUUCUGAUGGGAGAAGACACUUCUCUGCUGGGAAAUGGCCAGAUGUUUGGAAACUGGACUUUCGGUACUUUGGUCUUUACUGUUAUGGUUAUAACUGUUACAGUGAAGAUGGCUUUAGAGACUCAUUUCUGGACUUGGAUAAAUCAUUUUGUUACCUGGGGCUCCAUUGUAUUUUAUUUUCUAUUUUCCUUGUUUUAUGGGGGAAUUAUCUGGCCAUUUUUGCAUACGCAGGACAUGUACUUUGUAUUUGUUCAGUUGCUGUCAAGUGGUUCCGCUUGGUUUGCCAUAAUCGUCAUAGUUGUCACUUGUUUGUUUCUUGAUGUUGUGAAGAAAGUGCUGUGCAGACAUCUACAACCAACAAAUACUGAAAAAGCUCAGAUGUACUCCAACAGAGUUGCUUUAAGUGAUGAGUUCAUCGCACUGCAGCCAUUAUCCAGGGCAAGGAAUCAGCUGAGCAGAAUUAGCUUACUGAGACAGGCUCAGGUAUCAACUGCUUGGACUCCAUGUGCUGCUUCUCAGAUGGGGAAACAGCAUGCGCAUCUGUUAGAAGAAUGUUGGAACGACUAAUGGGAAGAUGUAGUCCAACCCGGGUCAACAGGUGUGGAAUUUCUCUCAAUAGCCUUUGCUGCAGACGAUUCUCCUAUAAACUGGAACCUGAUGAGCCUGCAGCUAUAGAUGUCUAGCAAACCAGUUGCAGGUUUUGCGUAAUUAACAGGAAAUGCUGUUCUUUAUAGUGCUUUUUGAUCCUAAAAGAUCCGUUUCUUGCUUACUGGGAGUGCUUUUGUUAGAAAAAGGAAGAAAACAGUUUUUCAAGAAACAGAACUCUUCAAACUUUGUUUGGUCUUUCUAGUAUGAGAUCUUGUGUUGUGUGUAUAUAUGGUAUUUUCUCUGGGUUUGUACAUCCUUCUGUUUAGAAAAACAAACCUCACUGUGCUGAUUGUUUUCCUGAUCCAGCUUUUUGCCUUCACAAAUCAAGCGUUAUUUGUCAAGUCAAAAGGCUUUUCCUUUGAUACUUAAUGUAUGUCCUCCAAAUAGUCAUGGAUUAGCUUGUUACUUCUAAAGAUAUACAAAAGGGUCGCAUUUCCCCCAGACAAUAACUCCAUCAUUAAAAGGAAAGUCUUUAGACUUUUCAUCCAUUGGUGGUUACUAAAAUUAAAUAUUUUUUGUAAUAUAACUUUUAUACUCUAUUUCUAGAAACCAGCUAAUUUACAAAACACAGCCUUCAAUUUAACUUAGUUUGAAGGAUUUUUCUGUUUGUAUCAAAAAUGUCAGCAAAAUCAUGAGUGCCAUUCAAAAAUAUGUGCUAAAUAUCUUCUUGAAUUACAUACACUAAAACACACAUUGGUGGAAGAAAAACAUAAGAAUAAUCAAAAAUUAUUUGUCACAGGUAAUGCUGACAUCUUACAACAAACAUAGCUGUGAAAGAAAUUUAGAAAGUGAUUUUGAGAUCUACUGAAAACACUUUCACAUCUCCCCGUUUCAAAAAAACUCAGAGAACUAGGUAACAAAUUUGGGGGUAAAAAUAAAAAACCUUUUGUAUAUCUUAGUCUGUCUUUAGCUGAAUGAUAUCAUAGUACUCCAUUAUUCAAAAGCCAAACCUGGAAAAAAAUUGCACUUCUCACAUUUACAUGGGGUUUCCUUUAAUAUGUGAACAACUGUCUCUUUAAGUUAAAGGAUGUGAUAUCAUUCAUACAAAAUAAAAUCUUGUAUGGGUAAUUUAUACUGACAUGCAUUGUCAGUUCUGAUUUUACCUUUAGGUGUUGACUUGGUAUGUGGUAUAUUUCAGUUUUAAAAUUCUUGUGUUAACACAUUGUCUGUGAUUCUAAUCAUCUUCUUUAUUCUGGCUUGCUUAUGAAAUUUUGUUAGUUAUUUCCAUAAAUCUAGGGUAUAAUUAUGCAAAAAUAUCCUAUUCUGUAUAAGAAGGAACUGUUUAUGAUCAAGUAAAUUUUUUUAAUCAAAACUCUUGCUGUAUAGUAAGCAGGCAUGAUGUGUAAAAUAAACAGUUGAAUAGAAUUUUUAAACUACAAGAUGAGCCUUUAAUUGGUCUAAAACCAACAUUUCUGUAGUGGUUGCUUUAGCUAUAUUUUCACUUAUUGCUAUCUUCUGUAACAAAUGAAAACGCUGCGCUGCAAUCUAGAAACUUUUAUUUUCCACGCUGCUUUCUUUGUUCUAAUGUCACCUAAUAAGUGAUGCUGCUUUUGGCCAAAAAUUGUUUAUUGUGCAGGAUCUCAUAAAGGUAGGUAUAAUUAUUUUUUUCAUUCUGCUAGGCAUCUAGAUUUUUUUUUUACAAUUUCCUCCCUCCUUCGGUGGGAUCUACUACUAAUAAAAAUAAAAUAUCAUAUUUGACAGAAUAUAAAGCACUUUAGCAAUAUUGUGCUAUUUCUCAGGUUACUUGUCUGUUACCGCUUGUCAUCUUUUUUCCUAAUGACUGUACCGUCUAACUGAAUAAUUUUAAAGCCUAAAAAAGAGUUGCUAAAGCAUUAGAAUUAACAUUGCUUUAAACAAAUGAAUAUGCAAAACAAUCUAGGUGCUAGUCAAAGGGCUUUAGAAGUUCCAUUGUUGCUGCUGCAGCUCCAAUUUUUAUAUUGAAAUGGGUCUUCACAACCCUUUCAGUUUCACUUCAUGAAAUUAACUAAAAAUGAAUCUGUUUGCUUUAUUUAUUACAUUUUUGUUUUGAGUGAUUCCAGCUCCUUCCCUUCAGCAUUUCUAUUUAAAAUCUAGUCUAAAAGUGGUAGGAAGAUAUAUUUACAUUCUUCCCCUCACUUCCCUUGCAGUACAUAAAAGUUGCUGAAUACUUUUGUUGAACAUACUAAUUAUGUAAGUCACAUAAAACAGUUACCUGAAGGUACAGUGAAGUACUUUUAAUCCCAAAAUAUAUUUAUUUCUCAGGGUUAAGCUUAGAUCAGGCUUGGAUACAAGUACAAUUUAGAUUUUACUAAAUAGCUAUUGUCUUUUAGAAGAUGCAUGCAAUCUCAAAUGUAAUAGAGUAUUGUGUAAUGUUACUGCUGGUGUGAACCAACUGUUCUAUUCCAUCCCAGAGGCAGCUGCAUAUCAUUGAUGAAUUAAGUGAUACCUGUAUAUAUGUAGUUUGUAAAAGUGCUUUGUAAUCCUUUGUAAUGAAAAACACUUUUUUCCAAUUUUGUUGAUAUAGAUAGCUUGUGUUUAUAUACAAUAUGUGCACCUAAUAUUCUGUCAAAUAUGAUAAUGGGAUAUGAAAUUAUUAUACUAUCAAAUUUUGGGUGGGAGCCAUUUCUUUUGAUCUCAAGGUGUACAAAUGCUUGGAGUAGAGGGCAACCAGCAUAGAGUACUGCAGAUUUAUUGGGUUUUUUUAGAUAUAAUCAAAAUACAUUUUUCAUUGUUUCAUUCAUUUAAAAUAAAAUUGAAAUAUUGCAUGUUUCUUGCAAAUUAGUAAAAUGCAUUUCUGUCUGUCUCUCUCGUCCAUUAAACUAAACUGUCUGUCUACUCAUCAGCCAAUAGAGUAUUAAAAAUGCUGGAUCACAUGUAAGUUCUUAUGGUAGAACCCAUUACUGAAUGAUCUGGACCUGUCAUUAGCCAAUACACCUGUCAAGAUACAUGCGUGUACUAUUUUUGGAGAAACAGCAGAUUUCUGACAGAGAUCAUGGAGCUCAUCGGAUCCCUGCUAUACCAACGACAGAAGCAUCUUGACUCUCUCCACAAUGGACGCACCCACUUGUUAACAAGGACAUUUGUUAGUGCCUGGUGGAAGCCAUAUGGUGCUUGCAUAUUGAUAAUAGGUUAUGCAUGAGUUCAGUGCUGUACUCGCUGUCCUAGAAAAUGUGCUAGCACAACAAAAACAUCUAAAUACAAACCUCGUGGUCUAUCUUGUAGCAUAGCAAAACAUACUCUGAAACAUGUGAAGGAUAAUCUCUUCCACUACAUUUUCUAAUCUUAUAACCAAAUUAUUAAAUAUUUGAAUGCUUUUUCUGUGCCCAUUUCCUCUUUGUGCUUCAUACUAACAGGUUGGAAGCCUGUGUUUGACAUUUUAUUUGAGAUCUCAAGGUGAGGGAAUGACCAAAUUUUUCUGCUCCCAAGUAAUUGAUUUGAGGUUACUAACUUGUUUUUAAAUCUGGUUUUGUAAAUUAAGCUGAUUUUUUUUCCUUGGGGGGUGGGGGGAGAGAGAGAUGUUUUUUAUUCUAAAUUUAUAUUGAAGCUUCUUGUUAUGCUAACCUCUUAGUCUACAAAUAAACAAAACUCUUGUUUCUUCCAUGGGCAAGUCAAUUCAUUAAUAUAUCACUUUUAAAAAAAACUGCUGAUGGAUUAGCUGUUAAGAGAUUGAAAUACCAUCCACAUAUCUGUACUGGUGUACAAAUGGCAAAAAAUAAAAUGUACAAAUGUAAAAUAUGACAUAGCCUUUUCCAAGUGGUGACAAAAGCAUAGCAUUGUGUACCCUUCAGGUAUAAUAAGCAUCUCCUGUUCUUUACAGGUAAUAUUUAAGAGCCAGUCAUUCUCCUUCAUAACCAUUAUAUCCUACAUGUUUUAAUAACUAUUAUUGAUCCUAACAUGGAAAAAUAGGGGGAAAACAUGUUGACUGGAUUGUGCAGUUCUCACUAGCAUAAGUGUUGAAAAUGUAAAUGAUUUAAUCCUUUUACCAUUGUUGGGGGGGGUUGCAUGUGUUAUUUUUAUAUAUUUAUAUUCAUACUGUACUUCGAAGAUUUAAGCAUUAUCUUCCUAUAUCUGAAGGAUCUGACACAUUGAUGACAAUGGUUUGAUAUACAUGUAUCUCAAUAAAAACAAAGUGCACAGAUGCUACUUUGCACAGAAUUAUAAA